rnacentral:rRNA from 1 species
UACGAAGGGGGCUAGCGUCGUUCGGAAUUACUGGGCGUAAAGCGCGCGCAGGCGGUUUUCCAAGUCAGUGGUGAAAGCCCGGAGCUCAACUCCGGAACUGCCAUUGAGACUGUAAAACUUGAGGACGAGAGAGGUGAGUGGAAUUCCCAGUGUAGAGGUGAAAUUCGUAGAUAUUGGGAAGAACACCGGUGGCGAAGGCGGCUCACUGGCUCGUUUCUGACGCUCAGGCGCGACAGCGUGGGGAUCAAACAGG